GGAGAGAUGCCUGAGUGGCCGAAAGGGGCACACUGCUAAUGUGUUGACUGAGUAAAAUCGGUCCGUGGGUUCGAAUCCCACUCUCUCCG
rnacentral:tRNA from 1 species